UUUUCCCUGCGGUCCAUACUCCAUAAAGACGCAGAAAACUUUUGAGGGGCCUUCCUGCAAAAUUACCUGAACCACAUGGUCCACAUCUAAACCCUACCAAACCCUAACUGCAACAUCUGCUUCUUCCCCGGCCCUCUCCUUCGCCGUCCCUCCCCGUCGCUGCCACCGCAAGUGCUCUCUCUCUCUCUCUCUCUCUCUCUCUCAUAGGUACUUUUCCUCUCCUUUUCCCCUCACUCAUCGCCUCAUUUGAGAGAUGUAAUGAAAUAUGUUUAGUAAAUUAUUUCUUUACUUGCGAAAGAGGAGUUAUAUGUUAAUUGCACGACGUGAUAACGUUAUGCUAGUGUACUAUUAGGGUUGGGGAUUUUUAUUGGUUUGCUUGUGCUUUCCUGCUUCUCUGUAGUUGGCUUUUUUAUCGUUAUCCAGUGUUAAUGAGUUUCGAUUCCAUGUUGUUGUUAUUGUUGUUAUUAUUACUUUGGUUUAGACAUAUACUUGGCUACAUACUUGAGCAUUUCGAUCAAGUAGCAUAUGAACAUGUUUGUGAGCUUAUUGCGGAUUGAAUGGGUUUAAUUUGUAUCUGUUUGACACCCUACU
rnacentral:lncRNA from 1 species